UGGGGAAUAUUGGACAAUGGGCGGAAGCCUGAUCCAGCCAUGCCGCGUGUGUGAAGAAGGCCUUUUGGUUGUAAAGCACUUUAAGCGAGGAGGAGGAGCUUCAGGUUAAUACCCUGGAUGCUUGGACGUUACUCGCAGAAUAAGCACCGGCUAACUCUGUGCCAGCAGCCGCGGUAAUACAGAGGGUGCAAGCGUUAAUCGGAUUUACUGGGCGUAAAGCGCGCGUAGGCGGCUAAUUAAGUCAAAUGUGAAAUCCCCGAGCUUAACUUGGGAAUUGCAUUCGAUACUGGUUAGCUAGAGUGUGGGAGAGGAUGGUAGAAUUCCAGGUGUAGCGGUGAAAUGCGUAGAGAUCUGGAGGAAUACCGAUGGCGAAGGCAGCCAUCUGGCCUAACACUGACGC
rnacentral:rRNA from 1 species